rnacentral:lncRNA from 1 species
AACUGACACCUGAAAUUGUAAAGUCAGCACUAUAUGGUCCAGCUUCAGCAAAGAUUCCUGCACCAAAGAUAAAUCCAGUAUCGUCUCCUGCACCUCAGUUGAAUUCUGCAGCUACACCUACAGCUCCAACAAAUUCUUCGCGUUCACCUAAUCAGUUUGGUGCUACAUCACAGUUAAAUUCUGCAGCAACAUCUAUGGUCCCAACAAAUUCUUUGCCACUUUCUUCUAAUCCGUUGGGCACUGUAGCACCAAACACACCUCAAAAUGUUGGUUUCAGGCCAACACAAUCGCCUCAAAAUGCAGUGAUGAAUCAACAGUUCCCCACAGCAAACAGCAAUUUCAUGAGGCCACCUCAAGCAACACCUGCUGCUGCUGCUGCCCCAACUCAAAUGCAGGGA